AAACUGCGAUAAGUAAUGUGAAUUGCAGAACUCAGUGAAUCAUCGAGUCUUCGAACGCACAUUGCGCCCCCUGGCACCCCAGGGGGCACGCCUGUCCGAGCGUCGUCAACCCCUAAUCAGGUCCCGCCGUGCUGGCGCCUGGCCUUGGGCCCAUCGCCCCCCCCCCCGCCGGGCGGGCCCGCAAGCUACGACCGACGUACCUCGGAGCCCCGAGCGCAGCAGUGGACCUUCGCGUCGCUCGAGCUGGCUCCCCGAGGGCCCACGUCGAUGGGCUACGCCUGGGGACCCUGCGGGGCACCCAGACCACCCGUUGACCUCGGAUCAGGUGGGGAUACCCGCUGAACUUAAGC
rnacentral:misc_RNA from 1 species